CAGACAGCCAGGAUGUUGGCUUAGAAGCAGCCAUCAUUUAAAGAAAGCGUAAUAGCUCACUGGUCGAGUCGGCCUGCGCGGAAGAUGUAACGGGGCUAAACCAUGCACCGAAGCUGCGGCAGCGACACUAUGUGUUGUUGGGUAGGGGAGCGUUCUGUAAGCCUGCGAAGGUGUGCUGUGAAGCAUGCUGGAGGUAUCAGAAGUGCGAAUGCUGACAUAAGUAACGAUAAAGCGGGUGAAAAGCCCGCUCGCCGGAAGACCAAGGGUUCCUGUCCAACGUUAAUCGGGGCAGGGUGAGUCGACCCCUAAGGCGAGGCCGAAAGGCGUAGUCGAUGGGAAACAGGUUAAUAUUCCUGUACUUGGUGUUACUGCGAAGGGGGGACGGAGAAGGCUAUGUUAGCCGGGCGACGGUUGUCCCGGUUUAAGCAUGUAGGCUGGUUAUCCAGGCAAAUCCGGAUAAUCAAGGCUGAGGUGUGAUGACGAGGCACUACGGUGCUGAAGUAACAAAUGCCCUGCUUCCAGGAAAAGCCUCUAAGCAUCAGGUAACAUUAAAUCGUACCCCAAACCGACACAGGUGGUCAGGUAGAGAAUACCAAGGCGCUUGAGAGAACUCGGGUGAAGGAACUAGGCAAAAUGGUGCCGUAACUUCGGGAGAAGGCACGCUGGUGUGUAGGUGAAGUCCCUGCGGAUGGAGCUGAGACCAGUCGAAGAUACCAGCUGGCUGCAACUGUUUAUUAAAAACACAGCACUGUGCAAACACGAAAGUGGACGUAUACGGUGUGACGCCUGCCCGGUGCCGGAAGGUUAAUUGAUGGGGUUAUCCGUAAGGAGAAGCUCUUGAUCGAAGCCCCGGUAAACGGCGGCCGUAACUAUAACGGUCCUAAGGUAGCGAAAUUCCUUGUCGGGUAAGUUCCGACCUGCACGAAUGGCGUAAUGAUGGCCAGGCUGUCUCCACCCGAGACUCAGUGAAAUUGAACUCGCUGUGAAGAUGCAGUGUACCCGCGGCAAGACGGAAAGACCCCGUGAACCUUUACUAUAGCUUGACACUGAACAUUGAGCCUUGAUGUGUAGGAUAGGUGGGAGGCUUUGAAGCGUGGACGCCAGUCUGCGUGGAGCCAACCUUGAAAUACCACCCUUUAAUGUUUGAUGUUCUAACGUUGGCCCCUUACCGGGGUUGCGGACAGUGUCUGGUGGGUAGUUUGACUGGGGCGGUCUCCUCCCAAAGCGUAACGGAGGAGCACGAAGGUUAGCUAAUCCUGGUCGGACAUCAGGAGGUUAGUGCAAUGGCAUAAGCUAGCUUGACUGCGAGCGUGACGGCGCGAGCAGGUGCGAAAGCAGGUCAUAGUGAUCCGGUGGUUCUGAAUGGAAGGGCCAUCGCUCAACGGAUAAAAGGUACUCCGGGGAUAACAGGCUGAUACCGCCCAAGAGUUCAUAUCGACGGCGGUGUUUGGCACCUCGAUGUCGGCUCAUCACAUCCUGGGGCUGAAGUAGGUCCCAAGGGUAUGGCUGUUCGCCAUUUAAAGUGGUACGCGAGCUGGGUUUAGAACGUCGUGAGACAGUUCGGUCCCUAUCUGCCGUGGGCGCUGGAGAAUUGAGGGGGGCUGCUCCUAGUACGAGAGGACCGGAGUGGACGCAUCACUGGUGUUCGGGUUGUCAUGCCAAUGGCACUGCCCGGUAGCUAAAUGCGGAAGAGAUAAGUGCUGAAAGCAUCUAAGCACGAAACUUGCCCCGAGAUGAGUUCUCCCUGAGACUUUAAGUCUCCUGAAGGAACGUUAAAGACGAUGACGUUGAUAGGCCGGGUGUGUAAGCGCAGCGAUGCGUUGAGCUAACCGGUACUAAUGAACCGUGAGGCUUAACCUU
rnacentral:rRNA from 1 species